GGCCUACGGGGCGCAGCAGUGAGGGAUAUUGGUCAAUGGGGGAAACCCUGAACCAGCAACGCCGCGUGAGGGAAGACGGUUUUCGGAUUGUAAACCUCUGUCCUCUGUGAAGAUAAUGACGGUAGCAGAGGAGGAAGCUCCGGCUAACUACGUGCCAGCAGCCGCGGUAAUACGUAGGGAGCAAGCGUUGUCCGGAUUUACUGGGUGUAAAGGGUGCGUAGGCGGGCUUGCAAGUCAGAAGGGAACUCUAGGG
rnacentral:rRNA from 1 species